UUACUACUCCCUCCGUCCCAAAAUUCUCGUCUUAGAUUCAUCUAGAUACGGAUGUAUCUAAUACUAAAACAUGACUUGAUACAUCCGUAUUUAGACAAAUCUAAGACAAGAAUUUUGGGACGGAGGGAGUAUGUU
rnacentral:pre_miRNA from 1 species